rnacentral:rRNA from 1 species
AUUGAACGCUGGCGGCAUGCUUUACACAUGCAAGUCGAACGGUAACAGGCCGCAAGGUGCUGACGAGUGGCGAACGGGUGAGUAAUGCAUCGGAACGUGCCCAGUCGUGGGGGAUAACGCAGCGAAAGCUGCGCUAAUACCGCAUACGAUCUCUGGAUGAAAGCGGGGGACCGAAAGGCCUCGCGCGAUUGGAGCGGCCGAUGUCAGAUUAGGUAGUUGGUGGGGUAAAGGACCACCAAGCCAACGAUCUGUAGCUGGUCUGAGAGGACGACCAGCCACACUGUGAGUGGGACACGGACCAGACGCCUACGGGGGGCAGCAGUAGUGAAUUGUGGACAAUGGGGGCAAGCCUGAUCCAGCAAUGCCGCGUGCAGGAAGAAGGCCUUCGGGUUGUGGAGCACUGUUGUCAGGGAAGAAAUCUUUCAGGCUAAUACCCUUGGAAGGAUGACGGUACCUGAAGAAUAAGCACCGGUUAACUACGUGCCAGCCGCCGCCGUAACAC